rnacentral:rRNA from 1 species
CAUGCCUUACACAUGCAAGUCGAACGGCAGCACGGGUAGCAAUCCUGGUGGCGAGUGGCGAACGGGUGAGUAAUGUAUCGGAACGUACCAUUCAGUGGGGGAUAACGUAGCGAAAGUUACGCUAAUACCGCAUAUUCUGUGCGCAGGAAAGCAGGGGAUCGCAAGACCUUGCGCUGAUUGAGCGGCCGAUAUCAGAUUAGCUAGUUGGUGAGGUAAAGGCUCACCAAGGCGACGAUCUGUAGCGGGUCUGAGAGGAUGAUCCGCCACACUGGAACUGAGACACGGUCCAGACUCCUACGGGAGGCAGCAGUGGGGAAUUUUGGACAAUGGGGGCAACCCUGAUCCAGCCAUGCCGCGUGAGUGAAGAAGGCCUUCGGGUUGUAAAGCUCUUUCGGCCGGGAAGAAAUCGUAUGGGUUAAUACCCUGUGCGGAUGACGGUACCGGCAUAAGAAGCACCGGCUAACUACGUGCCAGCAGCCGCGGUAAUACGUAGGGUGCGAGCGUUAAUCGGAAUUACUGGGCGUAAAGCGUGCGCAGGCGGUUUUGUAAGACAGGCGUGAAAUCCCCGGGCUCAACCUGGGAACUGCGCUUGUGAC